AUUGAACGCUGGCGGCAUGCUUUACACAUGCAAGUCGAACAGUAACAGGGAGCUUGCUCCGCCGACGAGUGGCGAACGGGUGAGUAAUAUAUCGGAACGUACCCAAGAGUGGGGGAUAACGUAGCGAAAGUUACGCUAAUACCGCAUACGAUCUAAGGAUGAAAGCAGGGGACCUUCGGGCCUUGUGCUCCUGGAGCGGCCGAUAUCUGAUUAGCUGGUUGGUGAGGUAAAGGCUCACCAAGGCGACGAUCAGUAGCUGGUCUGAGAGGACGACCAGCCACACUGGAACUGAGACACGGUCCAGACUCCUACGGGAGGCAGCAGUGGGGAAUUUUGGACAAUGGGCGCAAGCCUGAUCCCGCAAUGCCGCGUGAGUGAAGAAGGCCUUCGGGUUGUAAAGCUCUUUUGUCAGGGAAGAAACGGCUGUGGCUAAUAUCCACGGCUAAUGACGGUACCUGAAGAAUAAGCACCGGCUAACUACGUGCCAGCCGCCGCAGUAA
rnacentral:rRNA from 1 species